rnacentral:lncRNA from 1 species
UAGCUGGCUCCCUCUUGUAAUACACCUUCCAAUCUCUGAAGUUUGUUUCUGAUAUCCGGAGCCGACUGCCUUAUGAAGGCCAGGGCCACUGAGGCCUUCUGAGAUUCUGAGUUGUGAAGAGCAUCUGCAGCAGCUGCUGACAAUCAUCCCAAAUAGGCUGAUGAGUCCAUCAGGAAUCUGCUCUGCGGCUCCAUGUAACCUCAGCGGUCUGCCUCCCGCUGACCGGACAGGAAAAUGGAUAAAACUAAAGAACAUUUCAAGUGAAUCAUGACAUAUAAAGAUCAUCACGUUUCAGGACUUCAUCAUCAGCCAGGAGGUGUAGCUGAGACCCAGACCUCUGCCCACAUUCCCCAACAGAGGAGAGUUGGCCUCCAGUGAGAGCUCUUACCCCAAGAUGCAGUCCUAGGGGGAGAAUUCUGAAGAGAGCACAGAAGAGCACAGGAGGAUGGAUUAAUGAGGCAUGCUAUAAAUGGAGAGGAGGCCAGAAAAAAAUGUGUGUUUCCCACUCUUCUUCAGAGUCAUAUAAGACCAGAAAAUGGCUACCAGCAUGGACAAGAUUGUCUCUGAGGAUGAAGGCCACUACUCAGGGGUCGAAGGAGCGUAAUAAUGAGUAAGAAAAAGGCCAUUCCCUAAUCUCUUUUUUCCCAUGAUUGAAAUACAGGGAUUGAAACAGGACCCUACAGGAGGACAACUCUUCACUUCACUUGUGAGGAAGAAAACACAAAAGCAAAGUGUAUUUUCACCCAGGUAGUGUCCUGCCUGCACAUCUGCCUUGGGCUUUUAUUCUUUUCAGAUUGCUGGGAGCAAACAGAUGGCUGCAGAAGCCUGAAUUUUAAAUUUAUUAAUGGAAAUUUGAACAGAUGUUAGAAAUCAAGAUGGCUUGUAAAUGCCACAUUUAUAGCCUUGCCUCCUUCAUAUCCAUGAGAGAUGUGUGUCAUAAAAGGGUAGCUUUUGAUCUUGGAGACAGCCUGGAUCCAACAUGGUGCUUCUGUGGCAAAAUAGCGGAAAUAUUGGAAGAACAAAGGAAGAAAACACUAAUCAUCUGCCUGUAUAAAUGGUAAAUGUUUGUUUGCUGAAUGCUCAAAUGUAUCUGUAAAGAAACCAUCAACCAUCUGAGCAAUUUUAAGUAGGUGAAAUUGAAGCCUGG